GAUGAACGCUGGCGGCGUGCCUAAUACAUGCAAGUCGAGCGAACAGAUAAGGAGCUUGCUCCUUUGACGUUAGCGGCGGACGGGUGAGUAACACGUGGGUAACCUACCUAUAAGACUGGGAUAACUUCGGGAAACCGGAGCUAAUACCGGAUAACAUUUGGAACCGCAUGGUUCUAAAGUGAAAGAUGGUUUUGCUAUCACUUAUAGAUGGACCCGCGCCGUAUUAGCUAGUUGGUAAGGUAACGGCUUACCAAGGCAACGAUACGUAGCCGACCUGAGAGGGUGAUCGGCCACACUGGAACUGAGACGCGGUCCAGACUCCUACGGGAGGCAGCAGUAGGGAAUCUUCCGCAAUGGGCGAAAGCCUGACGGAGCAACACCGCGUGAGUGAUGAAGAGUUUCGGCUCGUAAAACUCUGUUAUUAGGGAAAAACAAAAGUGUAAGUAACUGUGCACGUCUUGACGGUACCUAAUCAAAAAGCCACGGCUAACUACGUG
rnacentral:rRNA from 1 species